rnacentral:rRNA from 1 species
UUUGUUACUUCAAACCAAUCGGACUUCGGUCUGACAUCAAGUGAUAUUGAACAAUUUAGCUGAUCGCACGGUCUAAGAACCGGCGACAUAUCCUUCAAAUGUCUGCCUUAUCAACUUUCGAUGGUAGAUUAUGCGCCUACCAUGGUUGUAACGGGUAACGGAGAAUCAGGGUUUGAUUCCGGAGAGGGAGCCUGAGAAACGGCUACCACAUCCAAGGAGGGCAGCAGGCACGCAAAUUACCCACUCCCGGCACGGGGAGGUAGUGACGAAAAAUAACAAGCUGGUCUCAAUGAGUUCCAGCAUUGUAAUGGGAACAAUUUAAAUCUUUUAUCGAGGAUCUAUUGGAGGGCAAGUCUGGUGCCAGCAGCCGCGGUAAUUCCAGCUCCAAUAGCGUAUAUUAAAGUUGUUGCGGUUAAAAAGCUCGUAGUUGGAUCUAGGAUUAGGGCUACGGUCGUUCAGCUUGGACGUACUGUAUGCCCGACUCCUUUUCUCUAGUAUUCGAUUGUUGCUCUUAAAUGAGUGACUUUAGUUGCUGGAACUUUUACCUUGAAAAAAUUGAAGUGCUCAAAGCAGGUU